rnacentral:lncRNA from 1 species
AUAAGGUAUGCUGAGGAGGCCUCAAGCCAUUCCAGGCUCUUCUGUGCCUGUGGGACUACAUUCUCUGUGCCGGGCUUAGAGAACACGAAGAGGGAGCCAUCUGCCACACUCUGGAGGCUGAAGCCUGCACCAGUGCUGCUCGCCUCACUGUGGUAGGUGGUGGUGAUGGAAACUGCAGAUCGGCCAGAGUGGUAGAAAAGUUGCUGCAGGGUUUUUCUGGCUUUGCCUGCCCAGCUGCUCCAUGCCUGGCUAGAGGAGAAGGAGGAGCCACAUGUGGUACACUGGAGGCUGGAGCCUGCAGAUGGCAUGGCUCUGCGGCUCACCUUGCUGCAGUUGGUGGUGGUGACAGAGACUGCAGCUUGACUGUAGUGUCCAUGUUCUCCAGAGAAGCAGAACGAGUUGGAUGUAUGUUUUGGAAGAGAUUAUGAGGAACCGGCUCAUGUGAUGAAGGAGGUUGAGAGGUCCUGUGCUCUGCCAUCUGCAAGCUGAAGACCUGGAAAGCUGAGGGUGUGGCUCCAGUCUGAGUCUGAAGGCCCAAGAACCAGGGGAACCAACGGUGUAGAUUCCAGGUUGAAGGCAGGAGAAGAUGGAUGUCCCAGCUCAGCAGGCAGGCAGGAAGCAAAUGGGGUAAAUUCCUCCUUCCUCCA